CCUACGGGUGGCAGCAGUGGGGAAUAUUGCACAAUGGGGGAAACCCUGAUGCAGCGACGCCGCGUGAGUGAAGAAGUAUCUCGGUAUGUAAAGCUCUAUCAGCAGGGAAGAAAAUGACGGUACCUGACUAAGAAGCCCCGGGUAACUACGUGCCAGCAGCCGCGGUAAUACGUAGGGGGCAGGCGUUAUCCGGAUUUACUGGGUGUAAAGGGAGCGUAGACGGCAAGGCAAGCCAGCAGUGAAAGGGCAGGGCUCAACCCUGUACAUGCUUUUGGAACUGGGGUGCUAGAGUGCAGGAGAGGUAAGUGGAAUGCGUAGUGUAGCGGUGAAAUGCGUAGAUAGUAGGAGGAACACCAGUGGCGAAGGCGGCUUACUGGACUGUAACUGACGUUGAGGCUCGAAAGCGUGGGGAGCAAACAGGAUUAGUACCCCUGGUAGUC
rnacentral:rRNA from 1 species